rnacentral:rRNA from 1 species
AGAGUUUGAUCCUGGCUCAGGAUGAACGCUGGCGGCGUGCCUAAUACAUGCAAGUCGAGCGAACGGACGAGAAGCUUGCUUCUCUGAUGUUAGCGGCGGACGGGUGAGUAACACGUGGAUAACCUACCUAUAAGACUGGGAUAACUUCGGGAAACCGGAGCUAAUACCGGAUAAUAUUUUGAACCGCAUGGUUCAAAAGUGAAAGACGGUCUUGCUGUCACUUAUAGAUGGAUCCGCGCUGCAUUAGCUAGUUGGUAAGGUAACGGCUUACCAAGGCAACGAUGCAUAGCCGACCUGAGAGGGUGAUCGGCCACACUGGAACUGAGACACGGUCCAGACUCCUACGGGAGGCAGCAGUAGGGAAUCUUCCGCAAUGGGCGAAAGCCUGACGGAGCAACGCCGCGUGAGUGAUGAAGGUCUUCGGAUCGUAAAACUCUGUUAUUAGGGAAGAACAUAUGUGUAAGUAACUGUGCACAUCUUGACGGUACCUAAUCAGAAAGCCACGGCUAACUACGUGCCAGCAGCCGCGGUAAUACGUAGGUGGCAAGCGUUAUCCGGAAUUAUUGGGCGUAAAGCGCGCGUAGGCGGUUUUUUAAGUCUGAUGUGAAAGCCCACGGCUCAACCGUGGAGGGUCAUUGGAAACUGGAAAACUUGAGUGCAGAAGAGGAAAGUGGAAUUCCAUGUGUAGCGGUGAAAUGCGCAGAGAUAUGGAGGAACACCAGUGGCGAAGGCGACUUUCUGGUCUGUAACUGACGCUGAUGUGCGAAAGCGUGGGGAUCAAACAGGAUUAGAUACCCUGGUAGUCCACGCCGUAAACGAUGAGUGCUAAGUGUUAGGGGGUUUCCGCCCCUUAGUGCUGCAGCUAACGCAUUAAGCACUCCGCCUGGGGAGUACGACCGCAAGGUUGAAACUCAAAGGAAUUGACGGGGACCCGCACAAGCGGUGGAGCAUGUGGUUUAAUUCGAAGCAACGCGAAGAACCUUACCAAAUCUUGACAUCCUUUGACAACUCUAGAGAUAGAGCNNNNNNNNUUCCCCUUCGGGGGACAAAGUGACAGGUGGUGCAUGGUUGUCGUCAGCUCGUGUCGUGAGAUGUUGGGUUAAGUCCCGCAACGAGCGCAACCCUUAAGCUUAGUUGCCAUCAUUAAGUUGGGCACUCUAAGUUGACUGCCGGUGACAAACCGGAGGAAGGUGGGGAUGACGUCAAAUCAUCAUGCCCCUUAUGAUUUGGGCUACACACGUGCUACAAUGGACAAUACAAAGGGCAGCGAAACCGCGAGGUCAAGCAAAUCCCAUAAAGUUGUUCUCAGUUCGGAUUGUAGUCUGCAACUCGACUACAUGAAGCUGGAAUCGCUAGUAAUCGUAGAUCAGCAUGCUACGGUGAAUACGUUCCCGGGUCUUGUACACACCGCCCGUCACACCACGAGAGUUUGUAACACCCGAAGCCGGUGGAGUAACCUUUUAGGAGCUAGCCGUCGAAGGUGGGACAAAUGAUUGGGGUGAAGUCGUAACAAGGUAGCCGUAUCGGAAGGUGCGGCUG